rnacentral:rRNA from 1 species
GACGAACGCUGGCGGCGUGCUUAACACAUGCAAGUCACGGGGGCCCGCAAGGGUAACCGGCGAACGGGUGCGUAACACGUGAGCAAUCUGCCGUCCACUGGGGGAUAGCCGGCCCAACGGCCGGGUAAUACCGCAUACGCGUGCCGGGUGGCAUCACCUGGCAAGGAAACCUCCGGGGGUGGACGAGGAGCUCGCGGCCUAUCAGCUAGUUGGUGGGGUCACGGCCCACCAAGGCGAUGACGGGUAGCUGGUCUGAGAGGAUGGCCAGCCACAUUGGGACUGAGAUACGGCCCAGACUCCUACGGGAGGCAGCAGUGGGGAAUAUUGCGCAAUGGCCGCAAGGCUGACGCAGCGACGCCGCGUGGGGGAUGAAGCAUUUCGGUGUGUAAACCCCUGUUGCCCGGGACGAACCUCUCCUUUCGAGGAGACUGACGGUACCGGGUGAGGAAGCACCGGCUAACUCCGUGCCAGCAGCCGCGGUAAAAC